rnacentral:lncRNA from 1 species
AUAAGACUCUGGUCUUAGAGAGACCUGUGCUGACAAGCUCUUUUUACCUUUCAGGAAGUAGCUAACCUAUAACCACCGCAUCAGAACAGGAGCAAGAGUAGCACAGAAUUCUGGCUUUAAGAAGAAUUCAGGGAGAGGAGAGACCAGAGGCUGAAAGAAUCUCCGUGUGACGUGGUGUGACAUUUUGUUCAACCUAAUUUACAGCUAUGAACCAGAGUUUAAAUGACAUGACCAAGGAUGAGGACUAUGGCAGAAAUUUCACAGCAGCUCUACGAGAAUUAUGUACUGAACACAAGGAUACCCAAAGGGAAAGUGAAACAAUUCUACUGGGUAGAAUUAAGAAAACUUCAGCAAUCCAGAGAGAUGCCUCAAACAUCUGUACUACAAAGGGACCGAUCUGA